rnacentral:rRNA from 1 species
AGUCGAACGGAMCCUUCGGGUUAGUGGCGGACGGGUGAGUAACACGUGGGAACGUGCCUUUUGGUUCGGAAUAGCUCCUGGAAACGGGUGGUAAUGCCGAAUGUGCCCUUCGGGGGAAAGAUUUAUCGCCAUUAGAGCGGCCCGCGUCUGAUUAGCUAGUUGGUGAGGUAAAGGCUCACCAAGGCUACGAUCAGUAGCUGGUCUGAGAGGAUGACCAGCCACAUUGGGACUGAGACACGGCCCAAACUCCUACGGGAGGCAGCAGUGGGGAAUCUUGCGCAAUGGGCGAAAGCCUGACGCAGCCAUGCCGCGUGUAUGAUGAAGGUCUUAGGAUUGUAAAAUACUUUCACCGGUGAAGAUAAUGACUGUAGCCGGAGAAGAAGCCCCGGCUAACUUCGUGCCAGCAGCCGCGGUAAUACGAAGGGGGCUAGCGUUGCUCGGAAUUACUGGGCGUAAAGGGAGCGUAGGCGGACAUUUAAGUCAGGGGUGAAAUCCCAGAGCUCAACUCUGGAACUGCCUUUGAUACUGGGUGUCUUGAGUGUGAUAGAGGUAUGUGGAACUCCGAGUGUAGAGGUGAAAUUCGUAGAUAUU